UACGAAGGGGGCUAGCGUUGUUCGGAAUCACUGGGCGUAAAGCGCACGUAGGCGGGUUCUUAAGUCAGGGGUGAAAUCCCGAGGCUCAACCUCGGAACUGCCUUUGAUACUGGGAAUCUUGAGUUCGGGAGAGGUGAGUGGAAUUGCGAGUGUAGAGGUGAAAUUCGUAGAUAUUAGGAAGAACACCAGUGGCGAAGGCGGCUCACUGGCCCGGUACUGACGCUGAGGCGCGAAAGCGUGGGGAGCAAACAGG
rnacentral:rRNA from 1 species